AAUAAACCAAUUUACCACUUUUUACCUAUAAUUUUUGACUUUUCAUUUUAUCCAAAUUUUUUUUACGAUUGAUAUUUUUAUUUUUAUUAGAUGAUAAAUCAUGAAUAGUACUUUACGUGUGACUAAUUUUUUUUCUAAUUUUCUGAAAAUUUUUCAAAUAAAACGAACAGUGAAACAUUGGACACGGAAACCGA
rnacentral:pre_miRNA from 1 species